ACCUGGACUCCCCUAUUCAAACCUCUUCUCCCCCUCUUCUCCUCCUCCUCUUCACAACAUGUUCCUCCUCCCAGCCCAGCAGACACCACAUCUCCCCUCCGCCACCACCACAUCUCCGAUUGAGCCGCCGACAACCACCUGUUACGUCCACCUCACACAACAACCACCUCCGAUUGAGCCCCCAGCCGCUGUUAGAAACUCCGAUUGAGCCCCAGCCACCGUUAGAAACUCCGAUUGAGCCCCCAGCCGUCUGUUAGAAACUCCGACGUUAGAUGUGAAUUUAUCUUUUUCAUGAGUUUUUGUUCGUUUUUUAACAAUUAGGAUGCUCAAUCAAUUCUGCAUAUUACUUCCUCUAGGAUUUCUGUGGGAUGAAUGUUGCUUUUGGAGAUGCGGUUUGAUAUGAAUUUAACUAUUUGAUAUGAACUUUAACUGUUUCAUGAGUUUUUUGUUCAUUUUUUAAAGAUUAGGCUUCUCAAUUUUGCAUAUUACAUCCUCUAGGGUUUCUGUGGGAUGAUUGUUGCUAUUGGGUGGGGAAGACAUCUCUGAUGAAUCAAUAUGUCAACAAGAAGUUUAGCCCUCAAUACAAGGCAACAAUAGGAGCCGAUUUCUUGACAAAGGAAGUGCAGUCUGAUGAUAGGCUCUUCACUGUGCAGGCAAGGAGUCCGGUUCAUCUAGCGGACAAGCCGGGGGAGGUUCACGAGGAAAAGACGCGCUCUAAAAGGCAAGGAGUCCGGUUCAUCUAGCGGACAAGCCGGGGGAGGUUCACGAGGAAAAGACGCGCUCUAAAAGGGUCACUUUGCUGCAAAAUGGUACUUGAAUGCUCAAGGUCAAAAGCAAGAAAACAAGUGCAGGGCUCACCGUAAAUUACGGUGGCACCGUAAUUUACGGUGGCCAUUAAAGUGCUACGGUGAGAACCUCCUGGUUUACGGUAGGUACCCCAAGUGCCCAGAACCCACCGUAAUUUACGGUGAUACCGUAAAUUACGGUGGAGCCCAAUUUUGCUGAAUUUUUCACUUUUGAUUUGGGAUAAGUUACCAAUCCUAAUCCAAUACGUGUAUUCCCAUCGUUAAUAAUACUAAUGCCUGUUUAA